rnacentral:rRNA from 1 species
ACGCUCGACACCUACGGGGAGGCAGCAGUUGGGAAUAUUGGACAAUGGAGGAAACUCUGAUCCAGUGACGCCGCGUGAAGGAAGAAGGUCUUCGGAUUGUAAACUUAUUUUGUCAGGGAAGAAAAAAUGACUGUACCUGAAGAAAAGCACCGGCUAACUACGUGCUAGCAGCCGCGGUAAUCUGAGCGGGCUGGCAAGGC